UGCCUAUAAUGGUGAAACCGCGAACGGCUCAUUACAACAGCCAUAAUAUACUUGAUUCUGAUAUUCUUACGUGGAUAACUGUGGUAAUUCUAGAGCUAAUACAUGCACCAAAGCUCCGAUUGUUGCACUUGACGAGCGCAUCUAUUAGUUUAAAACCAAUCGAGCGUAUUCGUUGUGUUGUUGGACAUUUUUCAUCUUUUUGAAAUUUGUUUCGCUACGAAUACGCUCGUGAAUUGGUGACUCUGAAUAGCUUAAAGCUGAUCGCAUGGUCUUGCACCGGCGACGCAUCUAUCAAGUGUCUGCCUUAUCAACUUUCGAUGGUAGGUUAUAUGCCUACCAUGGUUGUAACGGGUAACGGAGAAUAAGGGUUCGACUCCGGAGAGGGAGCCUGAGAAACGGCUACCACUUCCAAGGAAGGCAGCAGGCGCGCAAAUUACCCAUUCUCGGUACGAGGAGGUAGUGACGAAAAAUAACGAGACCGUACUCAAUGAGGCCGGUUAUCGGAAUGGGUAGAAUUUAAACCCGUUAACGAGGAUCUAUGAGAGGGCAAGUCUGGUGCCAGCAGCCGCGGUAAUUCCAGCUCUCAAAGUGUAUAUCGUCAUUGCUGCGGUUAAAAAGCUCGUAGUUGGAUGUACGCCUUACGAUUCGGUGCAUCUCUUUUAAACGCGAUGUGAACUGAAUUCGUUGGCUGCUGACGAUAUGCGCGUCGCUUGGCUGGUUUUCCCUGCUUGGCCUUAAUCGGUUGUGUAGGGUGACUAGCGCGUUUACUUUGAAAAAAUUAGAGUGCUCAACGCGGGCUAUAUAACGCCUGAAUACUCGUGCAUGGAAUAAUGGAAUAGGAUCUCGGUUCUAUUUUGUUGGUUUUCUGAUCUGAGAUAAUGGUUAAGAGGGACAGACGGGGGCAUUCGUAUCGCUGCGUGAGAGGUGAAAUUCUUGGACCGUAGCGAGACGUCCUACUGCGAAAGCAUUUGCCAAGAAUGUUUUCAUUAAUCAAGAACGAAAGUCAGAGGUUCGAAGGCGAUCAGAUACCGCCCUAGUUCUGACCGUAAACGAUACCGACUAGCAUUCCGUCAGCGGUAAUUACGCCUUGACGGGCAGCUUGCCGGAAACGAAAGUUUUUCGGUUCCGGGGGAAGUAUGGUUGCAAAGCUGAAACUUAAAGAAAUUGACGGAAGGGCACCACCAGGAGUGGAGCCUGCGGCUUAAUUUGACUCAACACGGGAAAACUCACCUGGCCUAGACACCGUGAGGAUUGACAGAUUGAGAGCUCUUUCUUGAUUCGGUGGUUGGUGGUGCAUGGCCGUUCUUAGUUGGUGGAGUGAUUUGUCUGGUUGAUUCCGAUAACGAGCGAGACUCUAGCCUACUAAAUAGUCAAUGAAUAAAGGAUUGAAAAAUAUUCGYUGCGUUCAUAAUGACUUCUUAGAGGGACAAGCGGUGUUCAGCCGCAUGAAGUUGAGCAAUAACAGGUCUGUGAUGCCCUUAGAUGUUCAGGGCUGCACGCGCGCUACACUGGAGGAAUCAGCGUGCUAUAUCCAUCGUCGAAAGGCGUUGGUAACCCCGAGAAAAUCCUCCGUGCUCGGGAUCGGCGAUUGCAAUUAUUCACCGUGAACGAGGAAUUCCUAGUAAGUGUGAGUCAUCAGCUCAC
rnacentral:rRNA from 1 species